GACGAACGCUGGCGGCGUGCUUAACACAUGCAAGUCGAGCGGUAAGGCCCUUUCGGGGGGUACACGAGCGGCGAACGGGUGAGUAACACGUGGGUGACCUGCCCUCAGCUCUGGGAUAAGCCUGGGAAACCGGGUCUAAUACUGGAUAUGACUCCAUGACGCAUGUUGUGGGGUGGAAAGCCUUGUGCGGCUGAGGAUGGGCCCGCGGCCUAUCAGCUUGUUGGUGGGGUGAUGGCCUACCAAGGCGACGACGGGUAGCCGGCCUGAGAGGGCGACCGGCCACACUGGGACUGAGACACGGCCCAGACUCCUACGGGAGGCAGCAGUGGGGAAUCUUGCGCAAUGGGCGAAAGCCUGACGCAGCGACGCCGCGUGAGGGAUGACGG
rnacentral:rRNA from 1 species